rnacentral:rRNA from 1 species
UACGUAGGGCGCAAGCGUUAUCCGGAAUUAUUGGGCGUAAAGAGCUCGUAGGCGGCUUUGUAAGUUAGAGGUGAAAGCCCGGGGCUCAACUCCGGAAUUGCCUUUAAGACUGCAUCGCUAGAAUUGUGGAGAGGUAAGUGGAAUUCCGAGUGUAGAGGUGAAAUUCGUAGAUAUUCGGAAGAACACCAGUGGUGAAGGCGACUUACUGGACACAUAUUGACGCUGAGGUGCGAAAGCGUGGGGAGCAAACAGG